AGUGGAUAAGGCACGUGGUGCCAAUAAAUGGAUAAUGAGAUGGUAAUGGAUUUGGGGAGAUCUUGGCGUGUGUCUUGGGUGUGUGGUGAGGGUCGAGUCGACCGAGCAGGAUCUACGACGAGUCUUGGGACAAGUCUUGCCGGGGGACGCUACCUGGGCGUUCUCCACGAGAGUUACCUGUGGCGGGUACAUGUGACAGGGAGAGGUCCCGGAGUGGAGUGUCUUCGUGGGACGAAGCGCCGGGAUGGGAGCUGCUGUUUAGCACGGGGUAGCCGGAUGUCCCGUCGAGCGGGGCAUCAGUUGGCCCCUCGUGAAGAUAUCCUGUUUGGUCACCCUAAGGACUGAUAUGUUCUGUGGACCGGGUCUUAGGAAGCCUUACACGCCACUCGCCUUAGCCAUGGAACGGGACGGAUGUACGACCAGCUAGUGCGGUGCCACUACUACUAGGUUGAUAGCAGAUAGUGUAGGGAGGUACGGGCAUGAGGACCUACACCCUCCUAAGACAGCGUAGUGACCUUGGGGGCCCGGUACUACGCCUCACAGUCUCAGCAUGCCGGUGGUACUCCGGUAUGGCCCCAGUUCUGAGUGGUAGGGUGGCAUCGUAUUUAGUUGGGAGGCAGCUCGGAAUCAGCCUAGACGGGGGCCACCGUCGAUGAUGGUGAUCUUGUGGUUAGUGUAAACCUCUGCAGAGUUUUGGUUGAUCGAUCGAUACAUAUGCCGAUUCGUCGGCUAUGGACCUUUCCUAAGUACAGCUUCACUUGACUAGAGAGAGGAGUCCUUUCUACCUUCCCCUGGGUUUGUGUUGGAUCCGGCGUUGGCCGUUGAGGCAAAGCACGAGCGGGAGUCGUACUUGCCGCCUAGAGAGUGAGAGUGUGGUGAGAUGUGUGUGAUGGGAUGGAUGGAUGGAUGUGUGGAUGAGAUGGAUUAAACUUGAUGAAUUAUUAUUAUUAAAUAUUGAUGAACUUGUAUAGGAAAGACUACAGCCAUAUGUAUAGGCCUCUUGAUCUACCCUUUGCAUUCCACUUACCACAAAGCUUACGCAAAAGCAUAGGGUGGGAGCCAGUGGCCAGUACAAAUCGUACUGAACAUUGUUUAGCAGGUUUUGAACGUGGUCCAUGACGAUGACUACGGAGAGUAGAAGGAUUAGGUGGUCUCGUUCCUGCACUCAAGUUUGGUUCGGAGAUGGAGGCUACGCCUGCUGAUAAACUACGCCGACUCUGAUGAUUGCCCGUGAAGGAGGAGCCUUCACCGCUGACGCGCUACAUCAACUCUGAUAUAGACCCGUGUGUGUUUCCGCUAGAAAAACGAUAUAAUAGGCUUGUUGACUGAGAGUUGUAAAGUAAAUGUGUUGUAAUCUUGUUUUUCACGAUGUAUGACUAUGAUAACAGCUGAUAUAUGAUAAUGUGAUGGCUCAAUUUUUGAAUUAUCACAUUAUAAUUCGAAUCUGUGGAUUUUCCCCUUUGUGGAAAAAUCUAGGUCGUUUCAGUUGGUAUCAGAGCCAUACUUGACCCUAGGACGAGACCUUUAGCACCAAACACUAGUUAAGAAGCCAAACAUCCUAUCUUUUGUAGAGUUAUAGACACUAACACUUGUUUUCCCCCUCUGCCUUGAAUUCUGCUGCUAACUGACCUCCCUGUUUCAUAAAGUUGACCGUUGGAAACUUUUCCCAUACAUGCCCACGCUAGAUCGGUAGUCGUGUGAGACUUUGAAGGUCUGUGAGUCACCUCAAGUCAACACUAUGCAUUAGGAGUUGUAAUGCUGUUUGAGUGCUUGGAUCUUAUGUUGUUGUGUUUCUUCGGCUUCUUGUUGUCUGAGUGUAAGUCAUAGAACUUGUUUUAUGCGAGAAAGACUCUGGAUCCCGUCCAACCUAGUCGGCUAAACCCAAGACCGUCCCGAGACUAGAUAGGUGGCCCUGGCUAACAGAGCUGAAAAAGGGUGUAAAGCUGAUGCAUCAUGUCUUUCCCAUCUAUUUCAAAACUGUUUUGGCUUCCAACUAAACCUAUCUUCAAAAUUUUCUCUCCUUUUUGGUUAAAAUGUCCCCUCUUUAACAAAAACAUCUCUAUUUCAAAUAGAUAAGUGUUUCAAAACUCUCUCAAGGUCUUCCUUUUUCGAAAAGAAGGCAACUCAAACUCCAUUCUCAACUCAAUGUUAUUCAAAAGCUAUUUAUGAACUGAUUUAAAAAUAAGUUAUCUUUCAAAAAGUGUUACCAACCAUCUUCUGAAAAACAAAAGUCUUGCUUUUUCAUCAACAAUGUGGUUUUCAAACCAAAGAUCUUUGGCUCAGUUUUGUUUUAAAGGCCUUUGAUUUUAUCUCGAGAGCCAAAUUCCCUUCAAAAAUCAACCUUGUAUUACAAAAUGAGAGAUUUGUAACUGAUUUGUUAAACAAAAACCAUUGUGAAAGGAUUUUGUUUUGCAACCUUCAAAAAAAAAUAGCAAAAAAAAAGAGAAAUGAUUUCUAACCAUUUUCAAAACUAGAUUGUUUAAUUCAAAUAAAAGAGAGCAACACCUCAUUUAGAAAACUAAAAGAGUUUCAAAGUCUCUUGAUUUGAAAUCUUUUACAAAAAAAAAUCUCUUAAAAAAAAUAAAAUAAAUAUAUACAUAUAUAUAUAAUAUAAAUAAUAAUAAUGACAAAAUAAAUAAAUUUGGUUUUCAAAAUUUGCGUUGAUUUCAACCCUUUUCAAAAGCUCUUUUCAGUUUGAGCUAUCUUAAAAAAAAACUUUGACUUUGUAAAACCGCUUUCACUCCAUUUAUGAAACGUGAUUUUCCAAAAAACAUUCCUUUCAAAAGCUUUUUGCAAAAAGUGAUGCAUGAAAAACAGCUGGUGAAAGCCAACAACCCUAGCUAUGUUUCAGCCUGCCAAGCACCCUUUGAGAGCCAGAUGUUCAUCAACCUGGUGCGAUUCUUGGAUACCCAUCGCCUUGUUGUAAAAAUUUGGAUACCCAACACCAGCGAGUGAGCCUUGGAUACACUUGGAACAUGACUCACUCCUGUUUUGGAAAAAGUUUGUGGAGCGAUCAUACUGAAAGUGAAACAACUUAGAAGUAAGAGGAACUUCGAGAAUAGCACCCUUGCUUCUUCAUCGACCGAGCAACGCCUAAAUCUCGGGGACGAGAUUCCUGUAAGGUGGGUGGACUGUAACAUCCCAGAUUUUUACGUAAACCAAAAAUACGAGCUUUCUAAAAUUUUUCCUGUAAUCGUGUGAACCAUAUAGUUUUUAGGUCAAACUCGAUCCUAACCCGCUAACAAAUCGUGGCAUACAUGUAGAUUUGUUUGUAGGCGAGUGCUUUUGUUCGUGAGUCGAUUUGGAGUUGAGUCCUAAUUAGGGUUUGGAGUGCACAAAUCCGUAGCAAGUCUUUCUGAAUCUCUGUUGAGCCUAUCUCAAAGGCGAAGCGAAUCCCUUCUCAACCUUUUCUUGUUGAUCUCAUCACUAAAUCUCCUCCGCAAAAUCUAUCUUAAAUUCAUGGUAACUCAUCUCAAUCUCUUGUUGAGUCCUCUCUCGAAUGCCCCUCAUUUUUUCCCUUUUUAAAUUUCUCUCAAAGCCCUUGAGUCAAAUUCGUAAAUGGAAAAUCCAUCUCCUUUCAUGGGCCAAUUCUUUCCUCCUCUUCCUCCCUCCCUCGGCCCAGCCUGGGCUCCCUUCCCCCCUGUCCGGCCCAACUCGCGCGCGCCAAGGCCCAGUCUGCCCCUUACCCCCCAGCCAGGUCGGCCCACCUCGUUCCCCCUGUCUCCCCUCCGAGGCCCAGCUCUUUCCUUGGCCCAUCCAGUGCCGCGCUGGCCCAUUCGCUUCUCCCUGCUCUGGCCCAAGUCGUGGCCGGCCCAGCAGCCAGCGCCCCAGCCCCAACCCUAGCAGGGAGCUGGACACCUGAGCCCCAGAGCCGCCGCCGCCGUCGCCCAAGGCAGAGCCGCGCCAGCGCUCGCGCCUGCCACGGCUUCCGUGCGACCCCGCAUCCACCGCCGCGUGUCCCGCUGCGGACACGGACGCCGAGGAUGGCCGCAACGUCCCUAGAGCCCUAGCGCCCGCGCUAUAAAAGCAGCAGCAGCCGCUCGCCCUUCUUCUACCCGCCGCCGCCGCCAUAGCCGACUCGAAGCUCCACACCCUCACCAAGCGCCUCGACCCCGACCUCGCCCCGCGCACCUGCACCACCGAGCUCGGUCACGUCGUGACGCCGUCGAUCGCCACCACGAUGUCGCCCGCAACUGCGUCGCCCGAGCGUCUCGUCCUCGGCACCACCUCGGCACCCGCACCGCGCCCUCGCCGAGCAGCAGCAGAGCCGCGGCCAUGGCCUCGCCCUGCCGACGCCGCCAAGCACCACUGCGCCCGCCUCGGCCGUGCCCCUACCUCUGUGUCAAGCUUCAUCACCACGCGGGGGUCAGCCGCGGUGCCGUCCUCGCUGCGCAGCAGCCUCGCCCGGCGACGUCGAGCCCGCUGCCCUCGCCGCGUCGAGCUUCGACCACGGCCGGCCGCGUGGACGCCACAGCCCGGCCGAGCCUCUGCCUCGCCACCGUGGGAGUCGCCGCGGCCACGACGCCUUCAGCCUCGGCGCCCCUCCGCGUCCACGACGGUGUCGACCGCGAGCCCCCGUGCUGUCAUGGAGCUUACCUCGUCGAGCCGACACGCCGUCGACAGAGCCACCGAUGCCGCGCGCCGGGCACCAGAGCAAGCCCCUUCGCCGAGCACCCGAUGCGCCCUGUCGCCGCGGCCACGCCAGGACGUCGCCAUGGUCACCGCGUCAGCGCCGGCCGUGGUGAUCGCGACCCCGACCACGACGCCGUGCUCAUCUUGCCACGGUGACCGCGAACUUCCCUUUUUGCUGGCUGCCGAUCACCACUGAACGUGCAGCAGCGGCAGCACCACCCCGCGCGAAGCUCUUCUCUGCCGCCGGUGAGCCACCAGUGCCCAAGUGCCCUCCUUGCUAGCUUUCUGUUUUGCCUUGCUGAAACCGGCCUUUGUGCCGUGUUCUUCACUGUACAGGGAUGCUGCACCCAUGUCGUGCCACUUGCCGGAGCCGUUGGACUUAACAUCGCUGCUGUUGGAGCACCGAACCUCGAGGCGUUGCCGAACCCCAAGACUUCUCUUUCAGAUGCACCCCGGCCACCUGCAGCAAGCCGCGACCAAGCUGUAGAAGCCCUCUGCCAUCCUCGCCCGCAAGGUCGAACCUUGAACCUAGCUGACAUCGUCUCCGACGUUGGCAAAACCCUUGCCCUUCAUUUCGAUAUCAUACAUGCCAUGUAUCUUGCUCAUGUAUGCAUUAAGAUCUAUCUGCAUGACCAUUUGUUCAUCUAUCCAUGUCAUGCACUUGUUAUAUGAUCUAUCUAUACUUGUCGAUGCAUGAUUUAUCUCUGUCUAUUUAUGCCUGUGCCGUGCCUUCGCGCCGGACUAAUUAUUUAUUUAUCUAUCUCUAUCUAUCUCUCGUGCUAUGGAAAUGUGCUACUCCGAGAUAUCGUCGUGUUGGUGUUGUUGUUUAGUCAUUUGUCAAGUUGUGGUUCUUGCGGGUUGUGUGGUUCUUGUUGCUUCGGACCGAGCCGUCGAGCCGGUUGAGAGAGUGACGUGUUUGAAUGUUGCGAUCGCGAGUUCGUCUCGCCAUGGUCGUAGUGCCAAGCAUGUCCCUUCUCUCGUGUUGUCGCUGUUCUUCUUUAUUUAUUUGCCUGAGGACUGAGCCUUUGAGCCGGUCGGGGAAGUGGUAGUGCGCUUGACCAUUUCGAUCGUGGGUUCGUCCCGCCGUGAUCGCGAUGCCGAGCGUAACUCGUUUCCCGAGUUCAGUUGACUCUGUCGCGCUACGGUCGUUAGCUCUUGUUCUUGUCCCGCAGCCGUGGUCAUCGUGGGCUCGAUGUCUUUAUCGACACGGAUCUUACCCACACACCCGAGACCUAUGUGGCCUAGUCUAGUGGGAUACGAAUUAGGGGUCUUGUUAGGUGAAGCUCGUGGCCGCAAGUCCACCUUGCCAUGACCAUCGGGCUUUACCCCAUUUCUCGGGUGUUUAUCCUAACCACCUCGUAUGCUUGUACCAUCCUGACUAGAGCAUUCCCUCGGACCUAGUGGUGACAACCGCAUCGCUCCGGGCCUUAGGAAUAGCCUCGUGCCGAUUUAGUCGCACAGUCAUGGUGCCCUACGAGUAGGUUUGGAUCGUGGGGUCGUAUCUCUUUUAUCCAACCGUCGUUCGUUCCGUGAUGAGUUGGUCGAAAGGGUAGAACUCCAUUCUUCUUCUUACUUAAUCUUAAUCAUCAUCAGCAUGGAUUGAGACCCGUUUUGCUUGUUUGUUGUUUUGUUUCCAAUCCCGCGAUUCCCGCUGUUGCUAUGGCGAGUGGAUCAAAGGGAGAUGAAUCCCGUGUCCUUUCCCGUCUUUUUGGUUCUUCGUGUUUAAAACUCUUGUACGCUUGUACCUAUUCGACCGUAGCAUUUCUUGGUUCUCGUGGUGACAACCGCACCGCUAAGAACCCUGGUGAUGUCUUAGUGCAUUUAGUGCACCUAGGUUGUGGUACCCUACAAGUAGUUUGAGCACUCGUGUUCUUGUGUGUCACUCUUUCAGAUUCCCCGUCUCUUACCAUGGCGAGUGGAUUGGAAGGAGUAGACCACUUUCCCUUUUCUUCUCUCUUUGUUCCACCCUCUCUUGGCUUCCGCCAACUACAAUGGCGUAUAGAUUGAGAGAGACCGGAACUUCUCGUGCUCAUAGUCUUUUCGAUUCUUGUCGACCUCUAUGACACUUGGAUCGAAAGACCGUAAGCUGUGGUGUUUUCUUAGAAUGAGUUAGAGUCUAAACCAUUUAUUGAAGCCGUACAGGUUGACUCAGUUGACCCGGGAAGUACUGGCUAAGCUAGGACUCUGACUCGUACUUAGUGAACAGCCAGUCUUGUUUCUUUAGCCCAGGGACCGGACAUCCGUCGAGAGGGCCAAGCUGUUUUCCUUUCGUUGCUCUUUUAGUGUAGUUGUUCCUCAGUGUUCUGUCGUCUCUUUUCGCAGUCCUUCUAGGUCUAGUGGUUUGAUUGUUUCGCCUUGUUUGUCGCUUUCGAGGUAGAUGCUUCGGUUAGCGUUGAUCGGAUCAGGACCCGUUGGAGGGAGGACAUGCGGAAAGGAGGAUCUUGGAUGAGUACAACUACAAGUGAACUGAGGAUCUUGGAGAUAACAUUCAACAGGUGCCACGUCCCACCCAACCUCGUAGAAUCCUAUUAGACAUGCAAUAUGUAGAUGCUAGUGCUUUACUUUUAUGCAAUUGAACUGAGAUAGGUUGCAUGGUAGAAAUGCUUGUGAGCCAUUGCCUUGUUGCAACCUAUAAACCUCGCACACCCGCUGUUAGGGUAGAUGCUUGCACACUACUUGCUACUCCUUCUACUACGCAUUAUAUCUGUGAUGUGAUGCAAUGUGGAAGAUUGGAUGUGAGUGGAUAAGGCACGUGGUGCCAAUAAAUGGAUAAUGAGAUGGUAAUGGAUUUGGGGAGAUCUUGGCGUGUGUCUUGGGUGUGUGGUGAGGGUCGAGUCGACCGAGCAGGAUCUACGACGAGUCUUGGGACAAGUCUUGCCGGGGGACGCUACCUGGACGUUCUCCACGAGAGUUACCUGUGGCGGGUACAUGUGACAG
rnacentral:lncRNA from 1 species